UGCCCCUGGACUUUUCAUUGUAAAUCUCUAGUCUCUUCAGAGCCAUUUUCCAUACACAAUAUUUAUUUUCAUUUGACUUCGCUCGCCUUAUUUUACUUUGGAUUGAUUUAAGAACUUUAAAGAUGUUACUGAUUACUGGCACCCAGACCCCAACGCGAUGCUGAAAGACUGCUUCUCUCGGUCCUGAGGCUCUCCGGCCUUAGAGGCCUGGCAGCAGAACUAAAGUCUAGCGGUCAGGGCUACCUUCUCGCUCAGAGUCGUCCCAGUUCCACUUAGAGAUGGACCUUGGGACACCUUGAGACCACCUACAGGUAGGACAAAGAAUCUUCUCAACAAAGAGGUGGAGAAUUUCUGCUUCUGAUUAUGACAAGUUAGGUAAUUCUGAUCAACCCUCUCCCUGAAGAAGACUAGGAAUGCUGGGCAAAAUUUAAAAUAAAGGCAUCAAAGAACUGAUGAGACAAUGAGAAUCUAUCUGGCCAGUUUCUGGAAGAGAGGCCGGGGAUCCAGAGGGUGUGCCUACAGUUACGUCUGCUCCUGGCCUGGAGAUUUUUGUGGAUCUGAUUAGGCAUCUGAGAGGCUGACCUGCAUUUUUGACAACACCUGGAAGAACAAAAGAGGAUGAGAGAGCUCGGAAGCAAGGGUCAACUAGCAGUAAAAUGACCCUUACAUGGACAGCAACCCUGCCUGCAGACAUCAGAGUAACCCAGAAAAAAAGUCUCAAACCCUGAAAUUGGAUUAAGGUAAUUCCAGGCCAUCAAGAAUCAAAAUUCACUCCAGAGGGGCCAACAUCGUGCUGGGCCAUGAAUUAUUCCUGCAAAUACAAGAGCUGUGGGUGGGCAAACCUUUGACUGCGUGGUAGAAUGGUGGAAGAGAACAAGAACAGGAACCCAAAUGCUCCUUUGCCAUCUGUUCCUGAGUUUUCUCCAGACCCACUCUCCAUUCCCGCCCCAAGGCUGAGCCUCGGGAGGCCAAUCCCUAUGAAUUAAUCAAUGGCUCUCUUGCUUUCUGUUCACCAACUGCAUUUGGUCAGUAGGGAAUCCAGGCAGGGGAACUGAGGCAGGAAGGAGACGGUGACUCGGAGGAGUUACCUUGGGCUGCUAUGUUCCUCAACAGGCAGUCAUUGGUCUUCUCAGGUGGCAGGUCCAGCAGGACUCACUUUCUUCCAAGGUCUCAUAACUGUCCCUAACCUCUUCCUUCGGCAGCUGGAAACGAUGGCAGCUCUGAAGCGCUAGCCCUGAGUUCCCGCACAAGCCCUUGACCCUUCCCUGAAC
rnacentral:lncRNA from 1 species